rnacentral:rRNA from 1 species
GAUUAACGCUGGCGGCGUGCCUAACACAUGCAAGUCGAGCGGCGGCGAGUUUUACACUGAAUUCUGGAAGCUUCUAGUUGAAAGAGAAGAUUUAUUCAAGAAUUUUGUGUAAAAUGUCGGCGAGCGGCGGACGGCUGAGUAACGCGUGGGAACGUACCCCAAAGUGAGGGAUAACGCAUCGAAAGGUGUGCUAAUACCGCAUAUGGUCUUCGGAUUAAAGCCUUCGGGCGCUUUGGGAACGGCCUGCGUAAGAUUAGAUAGUUGGUGGGGUAAUGGCCUACCAAGUCGACGAUCUUUAACUGGUUUGAGAGGAUGAUCAGUCAGACUGGAACUGAGACACGGUCCAGACUCCUACGGGAGGCAGCAGUGAGGAAUCUUCCACAAUGGGCGAAAGCCUGAUGGAGCAACGCCGCGUGCAGGAUGAAGGCCUUCGGGUUGUAAACUGCUUUUAUAAGUGAGGAUUAUGACAGUAACUUAUGAAUAAGGAUCGGCUAACUACGUG